CUACCCUUGACAUGUCCGGAACUUGCCAGAGAUGGCUUGGUGCCCGAAAGGGAACCGGAACACAGGUGCUGCAUGGCUGUCGUCAGCUCGUGUCGUGAGAUGUUGGGUUAAGUCCCGCAACGAGCGCAACCCUUAUCAUUAGUUGCUACGCAAGGGCACUCUAAUGAGACUGCCGGUGACAAACCGGAGGAAGGUGGGGAUGACGUCAAGUCCUCAUGGCCCUUAUGGGUAGGGCUUCACACGUCAUACAAUGGUCGGUACAGAGGGUUGCCAAGCCGCGAGGUGGAGCCAAUCCCACAAAGCCGAUCGUAGUCCGGAUUGUUCUCUGCAACUCGAGAGCAUGAAGUCGGAAUCGCUAGUAAUCGCAGGUCAGCAUACUGCGGUGAAUACGUUCCC
rnacentral:rRNA from 1 species